rnacentral:rRNA from 1 species
UACGUAGAUCCCGAGCGUUGUCCGGAUUUAUUGGGCGUAAAGCGAGCGCAGGUGGUUUAUUAAGUCUGGUGUAAAAGGCAGUGGCUCAACCAUUGUAUGCAUUGGAAACUGGUAGACUUGAGUGCAGGAGAGGAGAGUGGAAUUCCAUGUGUAGCGGUGAAAUGCGUAGAUAUAUGGAGGAACACCGGUGGCGAAAGCGGCUCUCUGGCCUGUGACUGACACUGAGGCUCGAAAGCGUGGGGAGCAAACAGG